UACAGAGGUCUCAAGCGUUGUUCGGAUUCAUUGGGCGUAAAGGGUGCGUAGGUGGCGCGCUAAGUCAGGUGUGAAAUUUCGGAGCUUAACUCCGAAACUGCAUUUGAUACUGGCGUGCUUGAGGACUGGAGAGGAGACUGGAAUUCAUGGUGUAGCAGUGAAAUGCGUAGAGAUCAUGAGGAAGACCAGUGGCGAAGGCGGGUCUCUGGACAGUUCCCGACACUGAGGCACGAAAGGCCCAGGGGGAGCAAAACGGGG
rnacentral:rRNA from 1 species